UACGGAGGGUGCGAGCGUUGUCCGGAAUCAUUGGGCGUAAAGGGCGCGUAGGUGGCCCGGUCAGUCAGUGGUGAAAGCGCGGGGCUCAACUCCGCGUCGGCCAUUGAUACUGCUGGGCUGGAGCACUGUAGAGGCAGGUGGAAUUCCUGGUGUAGCGGUGAAAUGCGCAGAUAUCAGGAGGAACACCAAUGGCGAAGGCAGCUCGCUGGGACGUGACUGACGCUGAGACGCGAAAGCGUGGGGAGCAAACAGG
rnacentral:rRNA from 1 species